rnacentral:rRNA from 1 species
GAUGAACGCUAGCGGUAGGCUUAACACAUGCAAGUCGAGGGGUAGAAGUUGCUUGCAACCUUGAGACCGGCGCACGGGUGCGUAACGCGUAUGCAACCUACCUUUUACAGAGGGAUAGCCCAGAGAAAUUUGGAUUAAUACCUCAUAGUAUAUAACCUUCGCAUGUUGGUUAUAUUAAAGUUCCAACGGUAAAAGAUGGGCAUGCGUCCUAUUAGCUAGAUGGUAAGGUAACGGCUUACCAUGGCAACGAUAGGUAGGGGUCCUGAGAGGGAGAUCCCCCACACUGGUACUGAGACACGGACCAGACUCCUACGGGAGGCAGCAGUGAGGAAUAUUGGACAAUGGGCGCAAGCCUGAUCCAGCCAUGCCGCGUGCAGGAAGAAGCAUCUAUGGUGUGUAAACUGCUUUUGUACAGGAAGAAACACCCCGACGUGUCGGGACUUGACGGUACUGUAAGAAUAAGGAUCGGCUAACUCCGUGCCAGCCGCCGCGGUAAAAC